GUCUAAAUGAAGCAUCUAAGUCAGGAGCACAGUUGUGCCAGGCACUUCUUCAGAAAGAGAAGUGGUUAAGAUUUUAGGAGGGAUAAAUUGCUUUCUACAGGCACCUCCCUCUCUCUCGACCACAGAACACCACACAGAGCUACACUCCUCACCUCCUCACUGGCUGCAGAGAGGGAACUGGGUGGCAGAAACACUGCCUGAAGAGAAGAUACUGGUACUUGUUUGGGACUGCUCUUAAGGAAGGGAAGGGGGAAAUUCUAAGUGAUUGGCUCAGGGUUUCUGUUUGGGGGGACAGCUUCAGCCAGCAGCAGUCAGCAUGUACAGCAGAUCCUGUUAUCUCCUGCUCAGAGCUGUGCUCCGGAAGAAGAUUGUGCUGGUAUAGUCCCCAUGAGGAGCCUGUGUGCACCUUCCUCACUACUGCACUGGCACAUGUGUUUUGGACAGACCUAGUGCUUGCUCAGACACUGGAUGGCAGUGAACACAUGGAAGCAUGAGGAUUUGCACAUUGCAAGGGCAGAACUCACAAGCCUUGAAGGUCUCAGGCACCCAGCCAGCCAGGUUGUGAUAACACCACCACAGGACAGGCAAGUGUAGCAGAACACAGACCACGGUCUAUAAAAUCAAGAAGUUACAACAUCUAAGUGGGACUUGGACCGCAACUGCUGCUGGAAAGCGAAACCCAUGAUCUCCCAGUGGCCAGGGACACCUCUACUAUCAUCUGCUUCCUCCAACAUUUGAGUGACUCAUAUUCUUAUAUAUGUUUUUAAUCUUUAUUAUGAUUGUCAUGGAUACUGCAAGCGAAGUUUUAAGACUGACCCAUUCUGCAGAGGGUCCAGGUGAUUAGGAAUGAUGCCUCAGAGCUUUUUGGUUUUUUUUUUAACUUUUGUAGAUUUUAGAAGUAAAUGUGUAGUGAAUGUAGUGAAUAUAGAUUUUAAUGUAGCUGUAUUAUAUCCCUUACCCUGUAGCAUAGUGUUUACACAUACCCAACCUUACAAUCCCAUCUCAUAUCACUCCCUCUAAAUUUCGUUAGCGUGUUUAGUCUUCUUUCAAGGUAGAAUUGUAGAAAAACACCCUAAGGCCUGGACCAGAAGAUAUCACAGAGACACAGCAACCUUCAAGCCCAGAACUCUGGAGGAACUCCAAGGACUGUACGUGCUUUGAAGAAGAUGAAGAUGAGAAAGAAGGGGUCCCAAACGCCCCCAGUCCCAAUUCCCAAAGGGGCAUGUCAGGGGGCAGAAUGGGGCAGAACCAGGGGUGGACAGAUCUGGAAUUGGAUGGACCUUAUUAUAAUACCAUAGAGCCACUGUCUGGGUGAGCACAUGGUAUGUAUUCCUCUAGGCUUACAGACUCAUUAAAGGACCUGCUCUCUUUAUCAUAUCUUCUACACUAAAUCGGCCUGGAGUCUUUUCCUCUGUGGUCUUUUAAACCAGAAGCUAACCUGUGAUACAAACUUCAUGCUAUGCUGCUCAGAAAAUGGUGAUAUGCUGAUUUGGGUUAUAAAAAUCCUGUUCCGGUAGCAAAAUUUUAUGCUAUGCUG